rnacentral:rRNA from 1 species
CCUACGGGAGGCAGCAGGGAGGAAUAUUGGUCAAUGGGCGCGAGCCGGAACCAGCCAAGUAGCGUGAAGGAGGACGGCCCUACGGGUUGUAAACUGCGGUUAUAAAGGAAUAAAGUGAGGCACGUGUGCCUUUUUGGAUGUACUUUAUGAAUAAGGAUCGGCUAACUCCGUGCCAGCAGCCGCGGUAAUACGGAGGAUCCGAGCGUUAUCCGGAUUUAUUGGGUUUAAAGGGAGCGUAGAUGGGUUGGUAAGUCAGUUGUGAAAGUUUGCGGCUCAACCGUAAAAUUGCAAUUGAUACUGGCAGUCUUGAGUACAGUUGAGGUAGGCGUCAUUCGUGGUGUAGCGG